rnacentral:rRNA from 1 species
AACGCUAGCUACAGGCUUAACACAUGCAAGUCGAGGGGCAGCGGGAUUGAAGCUUGCUUCAAUUGCCGGCGACCGGCGCACGGGUGAGUAACGCGUAUCCAACCUUCCGCUUACUCGGGGAUAGCCUUUCGAAAGAAAGAUUAAUACCCGAUUGUAUCUUAAGCACGCAUGAGAUUAAGAUUAAAGAUUUAUCGGUAAGCGAUGGGGAUGCGUUCCAUUAGGCAGUUGGCGGGGUAACGGCCCACCAAACCAACGAUGGAUAGGGGUUCUGAGAGGAAGGUCCCCCACAUUGGAACUGAGACACGGUCCAAACUCCUACGGGAGGCAGCAGUGAGGAAUAUUGGUCAAUGGGCGAGAGCCUGAACCAGCCAAGUAGCGUGAAGGAUGACGGCCCUACGGGUUGUAAACUUCUUUUGUGCGGGAAUAAAGGAGCCUACGUGUAGGCUUUUGCAUGUACCGUAACGAAUAAGCAUCGGCUAACUCCGUGCCAGCAGUCGCGGUAAUACGGAAGGUCCAGGCGUUAUCCGGAUUUAUUGGGUUUAAAGGGAGCGUAGGCCGUCUGUUAAGCGUGUUGUGAAAUGUAGAUGCUCAACAUCUGAAUUGCAGCGCGAACUGGCAGACUUGAGUGUGCGCAACGUAGGCGGAAUUCGUGGUGUAGCGGUGAAAUGCUUAGAUAUCACGAAGAACUCCGAUUG